UCCUUUUUCUCUCUAGAAACCCAACGGUACCAAUGCACUUUCUCUCUCUACAACAACAUCCCAUCUUCUUUCCUCCUCAUCCUUCACCAUCCCUCUUCAGCCACAACAAAUUCUCCGACAUCUGCUGCUGCGGCCUGUUCCAUCGCCCACCAAAGUCAUCUUCAAAUUACAUGUUUUCCUUUCUUAUAACAUGAAAUCUAUAAUUUGCAAUCGCAAGUCUAUUGGAAACUUGUGACUCAUAAAAUAGAAAUCACCAAAAAAAGUUAGUGCGGAACUUAGCGGAACGGAGCUCGGACCGAAAAUCUUGAGCGUAACGGAGUGAAGCAAAUUAACGCACUAGCCCAUCAAGAUUGCAGCGAAGGUCGCGGGGGGUGGAGGUAUGGUCUAGAGUUUUUCUGGGUUGUUAAUUGAAAAUGUCAUUUUGGGUAAUUGACCAUAAUGCAAAGUGGGUUAGAAUAAGAUUAGUAGGUAUAUAUACUAUUUAUUGUAAAUCCCUAUGUAACCAAGAAAUCAUCAAUAAAUAACAAGCCGCCUGUGGAGUACCCAAAUUGGAAAAUCAUGUAAAUCUCUUAUGUUUUUUUUAAUUCUUUAUCAUUUGUGUGCGUGUGUGUGAUCCUAUAUUCUAACAGAAACUAAAAAAACCCCAAACUUUUUGUUAAUUGAGAA
rnacentral:lncRNA from 1 species